GACGAACGCUAGCGGCGUGCCUAAUACAUGCAAGUAGAACGCUGAAGGAGGAGCUUGCUUCUCUGGAUGAGUUGCGAACGGGUGAGUAACGCGUAGGUAACCUGCCUGGUAGCGGGGGAUAACUAUUGGAAACGAUAGCUAAUACCGCAUAAGAGUAGAUGUUGCAUGACAUUUGCUUAAAAGGUGCAAUUGCAUCACUACCAGAUGGACCUGCGUUGUAUUAGCUAGUUGGUGGGGUAACGGCUUACCAAGGUGACGAUACAUAGCCGACCUGAGAGGGUGAUCGGCCACACUGGGACUGAGACACGGCCCAGACUCCUACGGGAGGCAGCAGUAGGGAAUCUUCGGCAAUGGACGGAAGUCUGACCGAGCAACGCCGCGUGAGUGAAGAAGGUUUUCGGAUCGUAAAGCUCUGUUGUAAGAGAAGAACGAGUGUGAGAGUGGAAAGUUCACACUGUGACGGUAUCUUACCAGAAAGGGACGGCUAACUACGUG
rnacentral:rRNA from 1 species